rnacentral:rRNA from 1 species
AGGGCACCACCAGGAGUGGAGCCUGCGGCUUAAUUUGACUCAACACGGGGAAACUUACCCGGCCUGGACACUGGAAGGAUUGACAGAUUGAGAGCUCUUUCUUGAUUCAGUGGGUGGUGGUGCAUGGCCGUUCUUAGUUGGUGGAGCGAUUUGUCUGGUUAAUUCCGAUAACGAACGAGACUCUAGCCUAUUAAAUAGGCUCCCGGCUUUUAAACGCCGGGAGGACUUCUUAGAGGGACAGGUGGCGGUUCAGCCGCACGAAAGAGAGCAAUAACAGGUCUGUGAUGCCCUUUGUUGUCCGGGGCCGCACGCGCGCUACACUGAAGAAAUCAGCGUGCUUUAUGUUCCUGCUCCGACCGGAGUGGGGAACCCAGAGAACCUUCUUCGUGAUUGGGAUAGAAGAUUGUAAUUAUUCUUCUUGAACGAGGAAUUCCCAGUAAAUGCGAGUCAUAAGCUCGCGUUGAUUACGUCCCUGCCCUUUGUACACACCGCCCGUCGCUACUACCGAUUGAACGAUUU